GAUGAAGAACGUAGCGAAAUGCGAUAAGUAAUGCGAAUUGCAGAUUUCAGUGAGUCAUCGAAUCUUUGAACGCACAUUGCGCCCCCUGGUAUUCCGGGGGGCAUGCCUGUCCGAGCGUCAUUGCUGCCCUCAAGCACGGCUUGUGUGUUGGGCCUCCGUCCUCCUCCCGGGGGACGGGCCCGAAAGGCAGCGGCGGCACCGCGUCCGGUCCUCGAGCGUAUGGGGCUUCGUCACCCGCUCUUGUAGGCCCGGCCGGCGCUUGCCGACACAUCAAUCUUUUUUCCAGGUUGACCUCGGAUCAGGUAGGGAUACCCGCUGAACUUAAGCAUAUCAAUAAGCGGAGGA
rnacentral:misc_RNA from 1 species